CAGCAGCCGCGGUAAUACGUAUGUCACAAGCGUUAUCCGGAUUUAUUGGGCGUAAAGCGCGUCUAGGUGGUUAUGUAAGUCAGAUGUGAAAAUGCAGGGCUCAACUCUGUAUUGCGUUGGAAACUGUGUAACUAGAGUACUGGAGAGGUAAGCGGAACUACAAGUGUAGAGGUGAAAUUCGUAGAUAUUUGUAGGAAUGUCGAUGGGGAAGCCAGCUUACUGGACAGAUACUGACGCUAAAGCGCGAAAGCGUGGGUAGCAAACAGGAUUAGAUACCCCCGUAGUCCCUGUCUCUUAUACC
rnacentral:rRNA from 1 species